GUGAGGAAUAUUGGACAAUGGGCGCAAGCCUGAUCCAGCCAUGCCGCGUGCAGGAAGACGCAUCUAUGGUGUGUAAACUGCUUUUGUACGGGAAGAAACACUCCCUCGUGAGGGAGCUUGACGGUACCGUAAGAAUAAGGAUCGGCUAACUCCGUGCCAGCAGCCGCGGUAAUACGGAGGAUCCAAGCGUUAUCCGGAAUCAUUGGGUUUAAAGGGUCCGUAGGCGGUUUAAUAAGUCAAUGGUGAAAGCCCAUCGCUCAACGAUGGAACGGCCAUUGAUACUGUUAGACUUGAAUUACAAGGAAGUAACUAGAAUAUGUAGUGUAGCGGUGAAAUGCUUAGAUAUUACAUGGAAUACCAAUUGCGAAGGCAGGUUACUACUUGUGGAUUGACGCUGAUGGACGAAAGCGUGGGGAGCGAACAGGAUUAGAUACCCUUGUAGUCC
rnacentral:rRNA from 1 species